AUACAUGCAAGUCGAACGAGUUCUCGUUGAUGAUCGGUGCUUGCACCGAGAUUCAACAUGGAACGAGUGGCGGACGGGUGAGUAACACGUGGGUAACCUGCCCUUAAGUGGGGGAUAACAUUUGGAAACAGAUGCUAAUACCGCAUAGAUCCAAGAACCGCAUGGUUCUUGGCUGAAAGAUGGCGUAAGCUAUCGCUUUUGGAUGGACCCGCGGCGUAUUAGCUAGUUGGUGAGGUAAUGGCUCACCAAGGCGAUGAUACGUAGCCGAACUGAGAGGUUGAUCGGCCACAUUGGGACUGAGACACGGCCCAAACUCCUACGGGAGGCAGCAGUAGGGAAUCUUCCACAAUGGACGCAAGUCUGAUGGAGCAACGCCGCGUGAGUGAAGAAGGCUUUCGGGUCGUAAAACUCUGUUGUUGGAGAAGAAUGGUCGGCAGAGUAACUGUUGUCGGCGUGACGGUAUCCAACCAGAAAGCCACGGCUAACUACGUGCCAGCAGCCGCGGUAAUACGUAGGUGGCAAGCGUUAUCCGGAUUUAUUGGGCGUAAAGCGAGCGCAGGCGGUUUUUUAAGUCUGAUGUGAAAGCCCUCGGCUUAACCGAGGAAGCGCAUCGGAAACUGGGAAACUUGAGUGCAGAAGAGGACAGUGGAACUCCAUGUGUAGCGGUGAAAUGCGUAGAUAUAUGGAAGAACACCAGUGGCGAAGGCGGCUGUCUGGUCUGUAACUGACGCUGAGGCUCGAAAGCAUGGGU
rnacentral:rRNA from 1 species